rnacentral:rRNA from 1 species
GACGAACGCUGGCGGCGUGCUUAACACAUGCAAGUCGAACGGAAAGGCCCUGCUUUUGUGGGGUGCUCGAGUGGCGAACGGGUGAGUAACACGUGAGUAACCUGCCCUUGACCUUGGGAUAACUUCAGGAAACUGGGGCUAAUACCGGAUAGGAGCUCCUGCUGCAUGGUGGGGGUUGGAAAGUUUCGGCGGUUGGGGAUGGACUCGCGGCUUAUCAGCUUGUUGGUGGGGUAGUGGCUUACCAAGGCUUUGCCGGGUAGCCGGCCUGAGAGGGUGACCGGCCCCAUUGGGACUGAGAUACGGCCCAGACUCCUACGGGAGGCAGCAGUGGGGAAUAUUGCACAAUGGGCGGAAGCCUGAUGCAGCAACGCCGCGUGCGGGAUGACGGCCUUCGGGUUGUAAACCGCUGUCGCCUGUGACGAAGCGUGAGUGACGGUAAUGGGUAAAGAAGCACCGGCUAACUACGUG